UACGAAGGGGGCUAGCGUUGCUCGGAAUUACUGGGCGUAAAGCGCACGUAGGCGGAUCGUUAAGUCGGGGGUGAAAUCCUGGAGCUCAACUCCAGAACUGCCUUCGAUACUGGCGCUCUUGAGUCCGGAAGAGGUGAGUGGAACUCCUAGUGUAGAGGUGGAAUUCGUAGAUAUUAGGAAGAACACCAGUGGCGAAGGCGGCUCUCUGGGACGGUACUGACGCUGAGACGCGAAAGCGUGGGGAGCGAACAGG
rnacentral:rRNA from 1 species